AAAAUGACAGUGGCAAUUACCAUUUAUACUGUGUUAUUUGUAUAAGCUGUUAAACACAACAUUGUUAAACACAACGAAAAUUCAUUUUUCUACCUGAAAGCUGUAUCAUAGAAAAUUAUUUUCAAGUUUAUAUUCAACAGCUUAAUAAUGUUCAAACCAGGCUGGGCGCGGUGGCUCCCAGCACUUUGGGAGGCCGAGCCACGGCACCCAGCCUAAAGCAAUGUUAGGUUUCAAGAAAAACCUAAGCAUAGCCCACUAGUUUUUACUGUUUCCUUUAUUAUAUUGCAAUCUGCAAAACUAUUUGUAUUCAGCCAAGUAUCUAUGUCCAGUUUUAAUAAAAUAGUAGCCUAAGCUUACAAAAUAGACAAAUUAAGCAGCAACUGUUGAUUCUGAGUAAGUCUGUAUGCUAUCAAGAACACAAGAAUGCAGGAUCAUGGGAAAUGCAC
rnacentral:lncRNA from 10 species